CAACUUCGGUUGGUGUACUUAGUGGCAAACGGGUGAGUAACGCGUGGGAAUCUACCCGGUAGUGGGGAAUAACCAUUGGAAACGAUGGCUAAUACCGCAUAAUCCCCUUGGGGGAAAGGCUUCGGCCGCUACUGGAGGAGCCCGCGUCGGAUUAGGUUGUUGGUGAGGUAAUGGCUCACCAAGCCGAUGAUCCGUAGCUGGUCUGAGAGGAUGAUCAGCCACACUGGAACUUAGACACGGUCCAGACUCCUACGGGAGGCAGCAGUGGGGAAUAUUGGACAAUGGGGGAAACCCUGAUCCAGCAAUGCCGCGUGAGUGAAGAAGGCCUUAGGGUUGUAAAGCUCUUUCAAUAGGGAAGAUGAUGACGGUACCUAUAGAAGAAGCCCCGGCUAAAUCCGUGCCAGCAGCCGCGGUAAGACGGAUGGGGCUAGCGUUGUUCGGAAUUACUGGGCGUAAAGGGCGCGUAGGCGGUCAAUUAAGUUAGGCGUGAAAGCCCUGGGCUUAACCCAGGAACUGCGUUUAAUACUGGUUGACUAGAGUAUGGUAGAGGAAAGCGGAAUUCCUAGUGUAGAGGUGAAAUUCGUAGAUAUUAGGAAGAACACCAGAGGCGAAGGCGGCUUUCUGGACCAUUACUGACGCUGAGGCGCGAAAGCGUGGGGAGCAAACAGGAUUAGAUACCCUGGUAGUCCA
rnacentral:rRNA from 1 species